UUUUCGUUUGUUGCUGUGUUUCUUUUCAGAUAUGUCAUAUGGUGGCGUUCAUCACUUUCAGAACGCACUGACUCCCAGGGCGCAGAAUGAACGUCAUGUGUUCGUUUAAGAUUAGCUGAUUAUGGUUUGCUGAUUAUGGAUACGUUUAGAAGGCGAUAAUAAUAACACAUUUACAAUGUUUUCGUGGGGAGAGAACACCCGUGAUGGCUUCGGUUUGGUAAAGGCGAACACAGACGGUUGCGUAAAUUUCAAACACAUGAAACCUCCAAUUACGCAUCUUUCUGCAGGUAAUAAAGUGGUCGCGUUCAUCAGAAAUAAUGGGAAACAAGUGUCCGUCGCUCGGAUGCAAGAGGACAAAGAUGGGAGAAGGAUCACAGGAAAACUGAAGGAUGUGGAGUGCAGGGAGAAGAUUCUGGCUCUGAGUUGCAGCGAUGCCCAUAUUAUUUUACUGUCUGAAGAGGGCAGAGUUUUCUGCCUCACCCAAUCAUCCAAUGUUCCCAGACCUGUGGGUAACUUGAAUCAGGUAAUUCAGGUUGCAUGUGGAGACCAGCAUUCCAUUGCACUAACCCAAGAUGGUAAAGUGUUCACGUGGGGCCAGAACUCCAGCGGACAGCUGGGUUUGGGGAAGGAGAGCCCAGCACCUUGUCUCCCCAGCCCGUCAAGUCUCUGUCAGGAAUCCCCCUGGCUCAGAUCACCGCUGGGGGAGACCACAGCUUCGCCCUGUCCCUCUCUGGAGCCGUGUUCGGCUGGGGAAAGAACAGCACCGGGCAGCUGGGACUGGGGGACACAAUAGACAGACCUGCUCCAGCUCCUAUUGAUUGCCUGAAUCUAAAGAAGACCAUUACUGUUUCCUGUGGAGUGGAGCAUACUGCCAUUCUGACAAAGGGAGGUUUAGUGUUCACGUUUGGCUCAGGUCGAUAUGGACAGCUUGGACACAACUCUCUCAGAAAUGAACUACGACCUCGACUGGUGGCCGAACUCUGGGGGGCAAAGGUGACCCAGAUAGCCUGUGGAAGAAACCAUACAUUGGCGUUUGUGGGCUCCUUCAAAAAGAUCUACUCAUUUGGGCGUGGAGAGCAAGGGCAGCUGGGAAAUGGAGUCAAGAUGGAUCAGUCUGUGCCUCUGCCAGUACAGCUACCACAGGACUGCAUUGAUGACCAGCCAAUUGAACAAACCUUUGCUGGAGGAAACCAUUCUUUUGCCUUGUGCAGCUCCGCUAAGGAAUCAGGAAACGGGUUGAAUGACUCCCAUCUCGGAAAAGGGACUCAAACAUUAGACAAUGACAUAAUUAACAGAUGGAUCUCGGAAUGUGACUCAAAAUCAUGGAAGAAGAAGAUACAGAAGGAAAUCACAAAAACGUUCUCUUCUGCGUCAUGUUUAAAUGGGAGCUUCCUGGACAAAAGUCAUGAUAAACACUACCAAACCUCACUGAAGCACUCUGGCGUGGACUUGUCAUCCGCCCGACUGGCUUUUAAAAAGUUUGCAGAAAAGGACAAAGUCCUGGCUAAGGUUGAAGAUGUCGUCCAGCGCAUACUCCUUCCCUCCCUGAGUAAGGAUCCCAUUGGGGUGGAGGGUCUGAGGGUGUACCUCAUCGUCCCUGAGCUCCUGAGAGUUAUCCUAAAACAACAACGUGGCAUAGAUGUUACUGAGGCCUUCGCUGCUGCCAUCCUCAGACUGAACCCAGACAAGUUCCAGGUCCUUGUGGGCCUAUGGUCGACACUUCCAAACAAGUUCUUCAGAACUCUGGUGAAAACAUUCCAUUCUGUGUCACCAGAGUAUUUCUGUAUGUUGGAAAAGAAGGGCUAUGCUGUUAAUAAACAAUUUGAAGGGACUGUAAAGGUUAUGGAGAGGCUAUAUGAGGUCAAUUGCAACAGACACAUCAAAAUUUCGGCAAGCAAUUUCCACGUCAACCGAGCCAAUCGUAUGCUUGAGAAUAUGCUCAACACAUUUGCAUAUAAUGACUACAGAAAACUUUCUGAGGACUUCUUUUAUUCAUUUCACCGGCAGUCCUGCGUCUUCAACAUAGAGGCUAAAUAUCUAGUUUAUCAAUUGGAAUGGAAGUACAGAGUUGUCCUCUGUGGACCUUUACCCUUUUGCGUCCCUACAAUACAUGUGAGCAGAGAGACAGCACUGGAAGAUGCUUUCCAGCACCUUCGACAAAGUGGGCACAACUUCACAAUGCCUUUGAAGGUGGAGUUUGAAGCAGAGAAUGGUGUUGAUCAAGGUGGUGUUUCACUGGAAUUCUUCAGGCUCCUGGGGAGGGAACUUCUCACAAUGGAACCAAAGACACUGGAGGUUUACGAGUCUGGACUUGCAUGGUUCACAACAGAUGAUGGCGGUAUCAAUGACGAAUUCUACUUACUUGGGCUGCUCUGUGGGAAGGCCCUGUUUAGUCAGUGUGUUCUGAACCUCUGCUUCCCUCUGGCUCUCUUCAAGAAGCUUCUGGGUUUGACUACAACAUUGGAUGACCUUAAAGAGUUGUCUCCAUCUGAAGCAAGCUGCUUGCAGUAUGUGUUGGAUGAAGAUGAGGUUGAAGCGCUGGAUUUGGUUUUCAUGGAUAAAGGGCAAGAACUGAUACCAAAUGGAGAGGAGGUCCCGGUUACCAUGGUCAACAGGAAGAACUAUGUUGACUUGUACGUUGACAGGAAGCUCAACAAGUCGGUGCAGAGCCAGUUUGCAGACUUUGAGAAAGGCUUCCACAAAAGCUGCCCUAUACAAGCAUGGAGGAUGUUUCUACCUGAGGAGCUGAUGACACUUCUACAAGGAGAUGACAACUAUGAGUGGGACAAGAUGAGAGAGAAUGCCAAGUAUGAAGGAUAUAGGCCCACCGAUGACAUUAUCCAGAACUUCUGGAUAGUUUUCACGGAGUUCUCUGAGGCGCAAAAGAAGACGUUCUUAACUUUUCUGACUGGAACGGACAGACUGCCCAGAGGACUUAGUCUCUCUAAACUGCAGAUGCAAAUCACGUCCAUGGGCAGUACUGAUGCUGAUGAAUGUUAUCCGAAAGCACAAACCUGCUCUGUGACGUUAUGCCUCCCUAACUACAGCAGUAUCGACAUUCUGCGGGAGAAACUUCUCCAUGCGAUCACCCACUGUGACGUGUUUGGAGAUUUGUGAAAUGGUUACUGGGAAGCAUGUUGUAUUUUUUAUCCUUGCCAGUCAACAAUAUUAUUAUUAUUAUAUUAAUGUUAAGUCAAUGAAACCCAUUCAGAGCUAACAACUGACAAUCUUCAUAUUAAGUAGUCUUAAAUAUAGUUUUUCUAUUUAAAUGACUUUAUUGCGCAAUGUGGACCAAUAUAAUUAUGUAUUUCUUGACAUGUACUACUCGUGUUUCCUUCAUGCACUAGGAUAACUGGAUACGUGGAGACCUCUGCUAUUUGAAUAUCUGAACGACGUGCUGUCUUUGUAAAUAAAAUGGUUUAUAACUGCGAAUGAGUGCCAUAGUAAAAAGAGCCACUGUUAAUAAAGAUUUGUGGAAGUUCUAGUAAAAUACUGUUUUUAGGUAGUUAUGCAAAUACUAACAUUUUGUGCAAAUAAUUUAGAAUGCCCAUUGCAAUUAAAACGUUGUAUAUGCCUCUA